rnacentral:lncRNA from 1 species
AACCUCUAUGCUUUUCUUGAGGAAAAAAAACCAAUAAAACAAAACUCUUUACCCACAUAUAAACCCACACAUAAGCAUUGUACACUUUUUUUUUUUAAAUAACCAGAGAACUUGAUACUUUGAAGGGUUUGGGAUUAAAUUGAGUGCCAAUUUUUCAACAUUAGAGGGAGUGCCACUGCUUCAUUGACCUUAUAAAAUACUUGAUUCCAAUAGUUACAGUGAAGGACAAAAUAUAAAUUUAAAUAAUCUCUAUGCUUUUCUUAACAAUAAAAUAAAAUAAAAUAUCUCUUUCACAACACUAUUUAUCCACGUAAACGGUAAACCCACAUGAGAGUAAGGUGAGCGCUAAUUUUUCAGAAUUAUUUAAUGGACGUUGGAGGGUGCUAAUAGUCCAAGUCUGAUAAUAACAAUAGUCUUACGAAUCUGGCCCAUCAGUCUUGAGAACACAAAGGCCACUCGGUCGGCCCAUGUGGAGAAUUUUCAAAGGACUAACCAAACCAGCUUCCCAAAAAUUUGUAAUCCAAAAUUAUGGUUUUGAAAAUUUUGUACAAAUGUUGCAUCUUAAUCUUGUUCACUUAUUCCUUCUUUAGUUUUUGUAAGAACUAAGAAAUCAUUUGGAUAAACGAAAAAAAAAACUAAAAUCUCUAAAGAUUGAGUUUGUUGUACAGGUAGAUCCCUAACAUUUAUAAACUCUUGAAAUAAAAGUUAAAAAUCAAAUAAAAUUUCAGCCGCCGGGAUUUGAACCCGGAUUUCAUGUGAGUAAAAUUGCCUGAGUGCUAUGGCAGAUUUACUACUUUCUUAUUGAAGGCAUUUACAAUUUAAUUUUAUAUAAAAACUUUAGAAUCUAAUGUUGCAUCUUAAUCUUGUUGACUUAUUCCUUCUUUAGUUUUUGUACGAACUAAGAAAUCAUUUGGAUAAACGAAAAAAAAAAACUAAAAUCUCUAAAGAUUGAGUUUGUUGUACAGGUAGAUCCCUAACAUUUAUAAACUCUUGAAAUAAAAGUUAAAAAUCAAAUAAAAUUUCCGCCGACGGGAUUUGAAUCCGGAUUUCAUGUGAGUAAAAUUGCCCGAGUGCUACGGCGGAUUUACUACUUUCUUAUUGAAGUCAUUUACAAUUUAAUUUUAUAUAAAAACUUUAGAAUCUAAUGUUGCAUCUUAAUCUUGUUGACUUAUUCCUUCUUUAGUUUUUGUAAGAACUAAGAAAUCAUUAGGAUAAACGAAAAAAAAAAAACUAAAAUCUCUAAAGAUUGAGUUUGUUGUACAGGUAGAUCCCUAACAUUUAUAAACUCUUGAAAUAAAAGUUAAAAAUCAAAUAAAAGUUAAAAAUCAAAUAUAAUUUCCGCCGCCGGGAUUUGAACCCGGAUUUCAUGUGAGUAAAAUUGCCUGAGUGCUACGGCGGAUUUACUACUUUCUUAUUGAAGUCAUUUACAAUUUAAUUUUAUAUAAAAACUUUAGAAUCUAAUGUUGCAUCUUAAUCUUGUUGACUUAUUCCUUCUUUAGUUUUUGUAAGAACUAAGAAAUCAUUUGGAUAAACGAAAAAAAAAAACUAAAAUCUCUAAAGAUUGAGUUUGUUGUACAGGUA